GUCUAUGGCCAUACCACUCGGUAUUCACCCAGUCUCAUCUGACCUCAGAAGCUAAACAGAAUCAUGCCUAGUACUUAGAUGGGAGAAAAUUAGUUAUACAAG
rnacentral:rRNA from 1 species